rnacentral:tRNA from 1 species
CGCGUGUUCACCCGCUCCUCCGCAUUCUCCAAGCGCGAG